rnacentral:pre_miRNA from 1 species
GGGCAAUGUAUCUAGCGCAACACGUCAACUCUAGCUGUUGCAUAGGUACAUUGGUCAGU